GCUGUGGAGCUGAAGAGCACAAUCCAUCUCACAGCUGGGGGCCUCUUUCCAUUCUGGGUGACAGAUGAAGAUUAAGCUAGGUCAAGGCAGCACUCACUUUGGGUAAUAUAUUGACACAAUGAGAAGUAUUAAUCAGUUUCUCAGCGACGGAUGUGCAAGUGAAAACAGAAGGUGAAUAAAGUAACAGAAACUAAAUGAAGAAGGAACUAGGGAAAAUGUUGACAACAAGCAAGAUUUGGACACCUGGCAGCUGAGCAUAUUCUUCUUACAUGUGUGUCAUCUUUAGCCUUUAGGUAUAUUCUUCUGUUUGGGGCAAAUGUGACACAGGACAGCAUCCUCUGGGUUCCAUCAGACUCCAGCUUCUUGUUUAAAAAGGAAGUACCAGCGCUCUAAGAAGACUGAUCUUGGUUUCCUCCCCCCCACCACACCCCC